AUGUAAAAUGACUCUCGGCAACGGAUAUCUCGGCUCUUGCAUCGAUGAAGAACGUAGCGAAAUGCGAUACUUGGUGUGAAUUGCAGAAUCCCGUGAACCAUNGAGUCUUUGAACGCAAGUUGCGCCCAAAGCCAUUAGGCUGAGGGCACGCCUGCCUGGGUGUCACAC
rnacentral:rRNA from 1 species